rnacentral:rRNA from 1 species
UGGGGAAUUUUGGACAAUGGGGGAAACCCUGAUCCAGCCAUCCCGCGUGUGCGAUGAAGGCCUUCGGGUUGUAAAGCACUUUUGGCAGGAAAGAAACGUCAUGGGUUAAUACCCCGUGAAACUGACGGUACCUGCAGAAUAAGCACCGGCUAACUACGUGCCAGCAGCCGCGGUAAUACGUAGGGUGCAAGCGUUAAUCGGAAUUACUUGGCGUAAAGCGUGCGCAGGCGGUUCGGAAAGAAAGAUGUGAAAUCCCAGAGCUCAACUUUGGAACUGAAUUUUUAACUACCGGGCUAGAGUGUGUCAGAGGGAGGUGGAAUUCCGCGUGUAGCAGUGAAAUGCGUAGAUAUGCGGAGGAACACCGAUGGCGAAGGCAGCCUCCUGGGAUAACACUGACGCUCAUGCACGAAAGCGUGGGGAGCAAACAGG